CAGGAGUUUGAGACCAGCCUGGGCAACAUAGCCAGACCCUAUCUCUACCAAAAAUUAACCAGGCGUGGUGGGACGCACCUAUGGUCCCAGCUACUGGGGAGGCUGAGGCAGCAGAAUCACUUGAACCUGGGAGGCGGAGGUUGCAGUGAGCUGAGAUUGCGCCACUGCACUCCAGCCUGGGCAACAAUAGUGAAACUCCAUCUCAGGAAAAAAAAAAAAAAAAAAAAAAAAAAAAAAAAAGCUUCAGGCACCACAAAACCUGGAUCUGCCUCUGAUUGUGGUAGAAAAAUAUUGGAAGGACUACCCAACAAUUGGAGAACAGCCAAACAAAUGAUACAUGUAUGCUGUGGCAUGGGUAUGACUUUGCUUUUAUAAAAGGGUGGAAACCAGACGGAUGUGGCGGCUUGCUCUUGUCAUCCCAGCCCUUUAGGAGGCUGAGAUGGGAGGAUUGCUUGAGGCCGGGAGUGAGACCAGCCUGGGCAUCAUAGCAAGACCCAAUCUCUUAAAAAAAAAAAUUAGCUGGGCAUAAUGGCAUGUGCCCAUAGUUCCAGCUACUCAGGAGGCUGAGGUGGAAGGAUCUCUCUCUCUCUUUUUUUUUUUUUUUUUUGAGAAGAAGUCUUACUCUGUUGCCCAGGCUGGAGUGCAGUGGCACGAUCUUGGCUCAUUGCAAGCUCCGCCUCCCGGGUUCAUGCCAUUCUUCUGCCUCAGCCUCCCGAGUAACUGAGACUACAGGUGCCCACCACCACGCCCGGCUAAUUUUUUGUAUUUUUAGUAGAGACGGGGUUUCACCGUGUUAGCCAGGUUGGUCUCGAUCUCCUGACCUUGUGAUCCACCUGCCUCAGCCUCCCAAAGUGCUGGGUUUACAGGUGUGAGCCACCGCACCCAUGAAGAGCAUGAUGGAGUCGUGUCCUGAUUUCAGAAUCGCCCUGUUACAUACUGGCUGUGUGAUGUUGUGCAGGUUACUCAACCUCUCUGUGCCUCAGUGUCGUGUCUAAAACAGACAUAACAAUAGUGCUUAUCUUGCUGUGGGUUAUAAGUGAGUCUGCACGUGAAAAUGAGGCCCUGGCACAGGGGAAGCUCUAGGUGAGCAUUUGCUUUUAUAACAAUGUUAGGGUGGGGGAAGAUGAUUUUAAAAAGAUGCGGAAACUUGCAAUUUGUGCCAGAGGCUCCUCACAAAUGCUCC
rnacentral:lncRNA from 1 species